rnacentral:rRNA from 2 species
UGGCGGCAGGCUUAACACAUGCAAGUCGAAGGUGAAGCGGGGCUUCGGCCCCGUGGAAACUGGCGCACGGGUGAGUAACGCGUGGGAAUCUACCCCGGGGUGGGGAAUAACCGCUGGAAACGGCGGCUAAUACCGCAUACGCCUUGCGAGGGAAAGCUUUAGCGCCCUGGGACGAGCCCGCGUCGGAUUAGCUUGUUGGUGAGGUAACGGCUCACCAAGGCUUCGAUCCGUAGCUGGUCUGAGAGGAUGAUCAGCCACACUGGGACUGAGACACGGCCAGACUCCUACGGGAGGCAGCAGUGGGGAAUAUUGGACAAUGGGGGCAACCCUGAUCCAGCCAUGCCGCGUGCGUGAAGAAGGCCCUAGGGUUGUAAAGCGCUUUCGGCGGGGAAGAUGAUGACGGUACCCGCAGAAGAAGCUCCGGCUAACUCCGUGCCAGCAGCCGCGGUAAUACGGAGGGGGCUAGCGUUGUUCGGAAUUACUGGGCGUAAAGGGCGCGUAGGCGGAUUGUCAAGUCAGAGGUGAAAGCCCUGGGCUCAACCUGGGAACUGCCUUUGAAACUAACGGUCUAGAGUCCGAGAGAGGAUGGCGGAAUUCCC